rnacentral:lncRNA from 10 species
ACACACACUCUCCUGGGACAUCAAAGCAUCAGCUCUCUGGACCUGGGAGCUCCAAGAUAGUCUAUCCGCAUCUAGGUGAGAGGGCACCUCGCCUGGGGACAGAUUACAAAAGCGUCCCGCCAGAGGAAUGCUUCAGGUAGAGCUAGGGGUGGAUUGCAAGAAGAGUACCUUCUUUCAAUCGCUUUUGCUAAACACACACCCUCACACGCAAAAACACGCCCUCCAAGGUGGAGUGAAACGGGGUGCGGGGGUGGGGACGGCGGUGGAAGGAAGAAGACUUUUAUUACUCAAUCUGGAAAGUGCAAAUACACACAUGAACCUGUUAGCCGAUGGGCCCACUCUGCAUGGGUGGUGGACGACGACCCUGGCUCAGGAUUCUGCAGGAAACAAGUGAUGAUAGAGGUGUCAUUAGGAACUUUAUGGAUAUUUAUGCGCCUCCCUUUCAUUGCCAUUUGGAAACUCCUCACGCAGAAGUCAAGGAAACUCCAAUCCCACUUAAACUUCAUUGCGGAGAAACAGAGUUCUGAAAAAAAAGCAGCUACCAUGGACCUCUCUUUUAAACGCAAGUACACCCACACACAUUCGGAUACCAAGGAAGGAAGGAAAGAAAGAAAGGAAAGAAAAGGGAGGGGAGGAAGGAAGAGCAAAGUCCUCUCUAAAAGUCUCAAUUAUAUAUAUAGCCUCUGAUUGUCACCUCUCCUCCGUCCCACCAUUUUUCGUACUUGUAUUGGGUGGCAGGGACACUUUUCAAGAGUUCUGUGUUCGAUUGUUCACUCUGAGUACCUCUCCACCAUCCUCCAGUCGUUGCCCUCAUUGGGAGAGAUGCUUGCUACUCUGCUAGUACCACGCCUUGGUUCCGGUCUUUACUGUUGGCUGGUAGGUCGGGAGGCACCUCUAGCAUGAGACAGUGUCUGGAAGCCAGGAUUUCCCUCAUCUAUAUGCGCCGGUCCCCAGCUCCCUGGUCGCCAGGGUUUCUCUCCAGUUGAAUUCCGUGUUCCUUCAGGUUGAACAGUAGCUUCAGCGGUUUUUCACGCUCAGAAAUGAUGAGGCCCAAUUCCAAUCUUCCCUCCCGCCGGAAAGUGUGGAACAGUCUUCUGUAAUGAGAAAGCCACAAGAAAAUCUUCAAGAGGAAAACAGAUAUCCAUGGCUGUGGAUCAACUUCUGUGGCUCUGUUCCCCUUGUCUUCUCAC